AGUCCAUAAUGUGGACAUUUUCGUAGCAACACUCGAAAGCUUUUCCAUGUUUCGUAUAAUGAUUCACCCUCUAGUUGAUUAAAACUAGUUAUAUCCAUUCUAAACUU